GACGAACGCUGGCGGCGUGCUUAACACAUGCAAGUCGAACGAUGAAGCCUAGCUUGCUAGGUGGAUUAGUGGCGAACGGGUGAGUAAUACGUGAGUAACCUACCUUUAACUCUGGGAUAAGCCUGGGAAACUGGGUCUAAUACCGGAUACGACCAAUCUCCGCAUGGGGUGUUGGUGGAAAGCGUUAUGUAGUGGUUAUAGAUGGGCUCACGGCCUAUCAGCUUGUUGGUGAGGUAAUGGCUCACCAAGGCGACGACGGGUAGCCGGCCUGAGAGGGUGACCGGCCACACUGGGACUGAGACACGGCCCAGACUCCUACGGGAGGCAGCAGUGGGGAAUAUUGCACAAUGGGCGCAAGCCUGAUGCAGCGACGCCGCGUGAGGGAUGACGGCCUUCGGGUUGUAAACCUCUGUUAGCAGGGAAGAAGAGAGAAUGACG
rnacentral:rRNA from 1 species